AACCCUUGUUUACUCAGGAUUCCUGUCUUGAUCAAGAUUCCAUCUUUCCUCGUAAGCCUAGUCCAUGAAGGAGAGGUCCAAACCAGUCCAAUAUGGAGAAGAAGAUCUAAAUUCGGCAGAAUUUCAAGAAUAUCUAAGCCCUUGAAAAUCCGGAUUAAAUCGGGAGAAUUCCUGUGCACGUCUGUCAACUUCAACGGACUCUCCAGGACGGCUCACAAUGAAUCAGAAAACGUGCCAGAUAUGGAUAGAAAGCUACGGGAGUCUAGUUUCCAAAUCAAUUGGAAUCACCUCAAUAUCUGUUUUCUAGAGGGAGUUAUGACGCAAUCAUCAGACGGAGGUCAUUCUGCCGAAAGGGAGAAAAACUAGGAAUCCUAAACCAAUUUGGUUUAGGCUUUGUGGCCGACUUCUCUAGGGUUUUUCCUCUAUAUAAAGCACGACUUCAAGGACAGAAGAGCAUCAUCAACCCGUGCAAAUAACACCAAAGCCUUUGCCGAAACUCCAUCAACCUCCAAACACCACAAUCCGAUCCCACCUUCAGCAUUCGUCCAAAGCAAGUAGCCUAGGACUCCGCGCACUCGAAGAAUAGAACAAGUAGGGAUAUUCUGAGAGUGUAUUUCAUCUUCUAUUUUCGGAUUGCUAUGUGNNNN
rnacentral:lncRNA from 1 species